CUGGCAUUGAGAUGUAGAAUGAUCAUAUUCUUAAGUUCGAUAAGCAGAAUUUAAAUAUAAUUAAAACAGGAUUAUGUAAAUUGAAUAGUUCUAAUUCAUAUACGUAUCAUAGUUUGCAAAUAUUUACUUGCAUUGAAAAUAACAGACUUUAGCUCACAAUUUAAAGAUAUGAAUGCUUGUACUUUCAGGUAUCCUUGCUUUUGAAGGAGAGUUUCAUUGACUCAUUUCCUUAUCGUGAUAGGCCUUUCAUGAAGCUUUUCGUGGAUACACAGCUCUUCUCUGUGCAUACAGAUCUUGUUCUCUCUUUCUUCCAAAAGGAAUAGAGCUAUUUGGGAAUAUUACUACCAUGCAAAGCUUGAACGCAAGUUCAGUGUUGUAUAAUUUCUCUAAUUAUGUAUGAGUUAAAACUUUCUCCCUACAUGUAACGAAAAAAUUCCACUAGCAUAGGCUUGCUGCAGAUCUUGUAUAUAAUUAGUUAGAUAGUAUAUUUAGUCUUAAUAAGUGCUAUUAAGGUUUCACUCUAUGUAAAUCACAAUUUUUGUUUCAUACACCAAAAGUGAAAGUUUUAUGCCUACAUUAUGGAUGUGAUGCAAUAUGUUUAAAUGAUUCAAGAUAUAAUGCAGAAAUUUCUAGCAGAAA